CAUCGCUAAAGAAAUCUAUGG
rnacentral:misc_RNA from 1 species